rnacentral:rRNA from 1 species
GAUGAACGCUAGCUACAGGCUUAACACAUGCAAGUCGAGGGGAAACGACAUCGAAAGCUUGCUUUUGAUGGGCGUCGACCGGCGCACGGGUGAGUAACGCGUAUCCAACCUGCCCAUCACUUGGGAAUAACCUUGCGAAAGUAAGACUAAUACCCAAUGACAUCCCACGAAGACAUCUGAAUGGGAUUAAAGAUUUAUCGGUGAUGGAUGGGGAUGCGUCUGAUUAGCUUGUUGGCGGGGUAACGGCCCACCAAGGCAACGAUCAGUAGGGGUUCUGAGAGGAAGGUCCCCCACAUUGGAACUGAGACACGGUCCAAACUCCUACGGGAGGCAGCAGUGAGGAAUAUUGGUCAAUGGGCGAGAGCCUGAACCAGCCAAGUAGCGUGCAGGAUGACGGCCCUAUGGGUUGUAAACUGCUUUUAUAAGGGAAUAAAGUGCGUAUCGUGAGACUUUUUGCAUGUACCUUAUGAAUAAGGACCGGCUAAUUCCGUG